rnacentral:rRNA from 1 species
GGUGAACGCUGGCGGCGUGGAUAAGGCAUGCAAGUCGAAUGGGUUUAGGCCCAUGGCAGACGAGGUAGUAACACGUAGGUACGUACCUCAAAGUCAGGCAUAACUAGUCGAAAGAUUGGAUAAUUCCUGAUAGUCCCGUAAGGGUAAAGAUUUAUCGCUUUGGGAGCGGCCUGCGUAGUAUCAGCUUGUUGGUAAGGUAAUGGCUUACCAAGGCUAUGACGCUUAGGGGAGGUGAGAGCCUGACCCCCACCGAUGGAACUGCGACACGGUCCAUACUCCUACGGGAGGCUGCAGCCGAGAAUAUUCCGCAAUGGGCGAAAGCCUGACGGAGCGACGCCGCGUGAAGGAUGAAGGCCCUUGGGUCGUAAACUUCUUUUAUGAGGGAGGAAAUUUUUGACGUUACCUCAUGAAUAAGGAGCUCCUAAUUCCGUGCCAGCAGGAGCGGUCAUACGGAAGCUUUCAAGCGUUACCCGGAAUCACUGGGCGUAAAGGGUGUGUAGGUGGUUUUGUUAGUCUUCUGUUAAAGACUGGGGCCCAACCUCAGGAGUGCGGAGGAAACGGCAAAACUAGAGAGUGAGAGAGGUGAACGGAACUCAUGGUGUAGGAGUGAAAUCCGUUGAUAUCAUGGGGAACACCAAAGGCGAAGGCAGUUCACUGGCUCAUUUCUGACACUGAGACACGAAAGCGUGGGUAGCGAAUGGGAUUAGAUACCCCAGUAGUCCACGCCCUAAACGAUCCUAACUAGUUUUGGGGAGUAUCGACCCUCUCCGAGACGAAGCAAACGCGUUAAGUUAGGCGCCUGGGUAGUACGAGCGCAAGCUUAAAACUCAAAGGAAUAGACGGGGACUCGCACAAGCGGUGGAGCGUGCGGCUUAAUUCGUCGCUAAGCGAAGAACCUCACCAAGGCUUGAAACCUACGGGAACACAACCAAAAACGGCAUGUGGCCUUCGGGCUCGUAGGCAGGUGAUGCAUGGCCGUCGUCAGUUCGUGGUUUGAAUUGUACCG